rnacentral:rRNA from 1 species
CCUACGGGUGGCAGCAGUGAGGAAUAUUGGUCAAUGGGCGCGAGCCUGAACCAGCCAAGUAGCGUGAAGGAUGACUGUCCUACGGGUUGUAAACCUCUUUUAUAAAGGAACAAAGUGAGGCACGUGUGCCUUUUUGUAUGUACUUUAUGAAUAAGGAUCGGCUAACUCCGUGCCAGCAGCCGCGGUAAUACGGAGGAUCCGAGCGUUAUCCGGAUUUAUUGGGUUUAAAGGGAGCGUAGUUGGGUUGUUAAGUCAGGUGUGAAAGUUUGCGGCUCAACCGUAAAAUUGCAAUUGAUACUGGCAGUCGUGAGUAGAGUAGAAGUAGGCGGAAUUCGUGGUGUAGCGGUGAAAUGCAUAGAUAUCACGAAGAACUCCGAUUGCGAAGGCAGCUUACUAAACUGACACUGACAUUGAUGCUCGAAAGUGUGGGUAUCAAACAGGAUUAGAUACCCUUGUAGUC